rnacentral:rRNA from 1 species
GACGAACGCUGGCGGCGUGCUUAACACAUGCAAGUCGAACGAUGAAGCCUUAGCUUGCUUUGGUGGAUUAGUGGCGAACGGGUGAGUAACACGUGAGCAACGUGCCCAUGACUCUGGAAUAACCGCUGGAAACCGUGGCUAAUACCGGAUAGGUGCCGAGGCCGCAUGGUCUUCGGUUGGAAAGUUUUUGCGGUUCUGGAUCGGCUCACGGCCUAUCAGCUUGUUGGUGGGGUAAUGGCCUACCAAGGCGACGACGGGUAGCCGGCCUGAGAGGGUGACCGGCCACACUGGGACUGAGACACGGCCCAGACUCCUACGGGAGGCAGCAGUGGGGAAUAUUGCACAAUGGGCGCAAGCCUGAUGCAGCAACGCCGCGUGGGGGAUGACGGCCUUCGGGUUGUAAACCUCUUUUAGUAGGGAAGAAGCGCAAGUGACGGUACCUGCAGAAAAAGCACCGGCUAACUACGUG